rnacentral:lncRNA from 10 species
GUAAUGAUAAAGAUCAGCACAGAAUAUUAUAGAAGUAGAAUGGUCAAAUAGCUAAUCCAAACUUGGAGGUUAUGGCUACCAAGAGAAAUUUGUAGAAGAUAAUUCUUGAAAAUUUUAAAUAAGAGAAACCCCCUUUGGGUCCUCUCCCCUUGUACGGGAGCUCUGUUUUCACUCUAUUUCACUCUAUUAAAUCUUGCAACUGCACUCUUAUGAUCCAUGUUUGUUACGGCUUGAGCUGAGCUUUCGCUCGCUGUCCACCACUGCUGUUUUGCCACCAUGGCAGACCCACCACUGACCUCCAUCCCUCCGCAUCCAGCAGGGUGUCCGCUGUGCUCCUGAUCCAGUGAGGCGCCCGUUGCCACUCCCGAUUGGGCUAAGGGCUUGCCAAUGUUCCUGCAUGGCUAAGUGCCUGGGUUCGUCCUAAUCGAGCUGAACACUAGUCACUGGGUUCCAUGGUUCUCUUCCAUGACCCACAACUUCUAAUAGAGCUAUAACAAGCACUGCAUGGCCCAAGAUUCCAUUCCUUGGAAUCCGUGAGGCCAAGAACCCCAGGUCAGAGAACACGAGGCUUGCCACCAUCUUGGAAGUGGCCCACCGCCAUUUUGGAAGUGGCCAACCACCAUCUUGGGAGCUCUGGGAGCAAGGACCCCUGGUAACAUUUUGGCGACCACGAAGGGACAUCCCAAGUGAUCCAUGCAAGGCUGGACUUAAAUGCUUCUGGGCAGAAAUCCGGAACAAUAAGGAGGCUCAUAUUGUCAACUUUUCUACUCUCAUCGUUCCUGUUACACAAUGUCUGAAAGAAAACAUUUCAAACAUUACAUCAAGUUCUUCAUUUGUUUCUUCUCACUUCUCUUUCCUGCCAUCUUGUGAAGAAGGACCUGUUUGCUUCCUCUUCUGCCAUGAUUGUAAACUUCCUGAGGCCUUCCCAGACAUAUGAAACUCUGCCUUGUGAAGAAGGACUUGCCUGCUUCCCUUUCCACCAUGGUUGUAAGUUUCCCGAGGCCUUCCCAGCCAUGCAGAACUAUCAAACUUUCUAUCCGUGAACUCUUUCUUCUAUGCAAAAUUGAAGCUCUGACCCCACAUUUUUCUUCUGCACUGCCCUAGCAGAGGUUCUCCACAAGGGCCCCCACUGCUGCAGCAAACUUCUGCCUGGGCAUUCAGGCAUUUCCAUACAUCCUCUGAAAUCUAGCUGGAGGUUCCCAAAACUCAAUUCUUGAUUUCUGUGCACCCACAGGCUCAACACCAUGUGGAAGCUACCAAGGUUUGCCCCCACUGAAGCAACAGCUUGGGCUUGGCCCCUUUUAGCCAUGGCUGGAGUGGCUGGGAUGCAGGGCACCAAGUCCCUAGGCUGAAUAGAGUAGAGAGGCCCUGGGCCUGGCCCAUGAAACCAUUUUUUUCCUUCUAGGCCUCUAGGCCUGUGAUGGGAAGGGCUGCUCUGAAAGUCUCUGACAUGCUCUGGAGACAUUUUCCCUAUUAUCUUGGUGAUAACCAUUUGGCUCCUUGUUACUUUUGCAAAUUUCUGCAGCUGACUUGAAUUUCUCCUUAGAAAAUGGGUUUGUCUUUUUUAUUGCAUAAUCAGGCUGCAAAUUUUUCAACUUUUAUGCUCUGUUUCUUUUUUAAAACUGAAUGCUUUUAACAGCACCCACGUCACAUCUUGAAUGCUUUGCUGCUUAGAAAUUAUUUCCACUACAUACCCUAAACCAUCUCCCUCAAGUUCAAAGUUUCAGAAAUGUCUAGGGCAGGGGCGAAAUGCUGCUGGUCUCUUUGCUAAAACAUAGCAAGAGCCACCUUUACUCCAGUUCCCAACAAGUUUCUCAUCUCCAUCUGAGACCACCUUAACCUGGAUUUAAUUGUCCACAUUUUGGUCAAAGCCAUUCAACAAGUCUCUAGGAAGUUCCAAACUUUCCCACAUCUUCCUGUCUUCUUCUAAGCCCUACAAACUGUUCCAACCUCUGCCUAUUACCCAGUUCUAAAGUCACUUCCACAUUUUCAGGUAUCUUUACUGCAGCAUCCCACUCUACUGGUACCAAUUUACUGUAUUAGUCUGUUAUCAUGUUGCUAAUAAAGACAUACCUGAGACUGGGUAAUUUAUAAAAGAAAGAGGUUUAAUGGACUCACAGUUCCAUAUGGCUGGGGAGCCCUCACAAUCAUUGCACAAGGCAUGGAGGAACAAGUCAUGUCUUACAUGGAUGGCAGCAAGCAAAGAGAAGGAGCUUGUUCAGGGGAACUCCUCUUUAUAAAACCAUCAGAUCUCAUGAGACUUACUAUCACAAGAACAGCAUGAGAGAGACCCACCCCAUGAUUCAAUUAUCUCCUACUUGGUCCCUCCCACAACAUGUGAGAAUUGUGGGAGCUACAAUUCAAGAUGAGAUUUGGGUCAGGACACAGCCAAAUCAUAUCAGACACAGAAAGGGACUAUAUAUUUAUUUUGGCUGGAAUGAUUGACUCUGAUGAUUAUAAAGAGAAAGGUUUGCAGAUAUGAAAUGAGGGCAAAGAAGAGUAUGGAUGAAACCUAUCUAAUCUUUAAGACUACUCUUUUUUAUACCAUUCUAGAGGGUAAAGUUUAAUAGAAACUGCUACAUAUUUAUUUGUGUGAUCAUCAAACAACCAGAUUCCUCAGAAAAGAAGAUUUGGUGCAUCAGAGUGGAGACAAAUUACCCUGACUAGGGGAAGGGAUCAUGGAAGACAUUGUGGAAAAGAGGCUGUGGAAAAAUAAAUACCAGUUCUAUCCUUAGGAUUAGUUAUUGAAAGAACUUUACCGAUUUCCUUCUUUACCUAUUCAAAUGUAUUUGCCUAGUUUUAAUGAUUUCUCAAUUUUUUUAUCCCUAAUAUAUAUAUAUGAACAAAUAAGCAAUAGGCUCCCUAUAGUUUUAGAGUAAGAGUUGGCAUUCUGAUGAAACAAGGGGAAGAGUAAACAUCUAUAGGAGAUCCAGAACAUUAAGCAAAAAUAAGUCAUGAAACUGCUUGUUUUCUCUUGAAGAAAGCUUGAAGGAGUUUACAGGUAGACAUGGCAGUUGUAUUUUGUUAGACAGGGAUUAUUUGGAGGAUCCUAUAUUCAUUGGACAAAAGAUCUAUGUAGAUUUGGUGUAACAGGAAUGAUUAGACUGAUUAUUUGUUAAAUUUUGUCUGCCCAGUAUCCAUUUCUCUUUUUUGAAUAAUAGCACCAAAAUUUUUUGGGGAUUGGGGAAAGGUCAUUAUCUCCUAUUGGGUGCAAACUUGGAAGGCAGUUAAUUAAGUUGGCCUGCUCUUUCCUAGCCAAGAGUUGACCACAUUAUCCAAUUAACCAAUUAAGUAAAUUAACACAUCUCUGGAGUUUGUUAUUGUCAGCAGAAUGACAUAAGAAAAUAAAAAUGGCUAAACCUCAUUUAUUCUGCAUGUAAUAUCCUGAUGAGAUGGUUUAUAAGUUCCUGCUACUUCUGUCUUUAAGAACUAUAAUAAUUUCUAAAUUAGAAUUUCUAGACUUCCCUUUGAUUCUGUGAACACUUAUGCUUACAAUAACUUUUUUACUGCUUAACUUAGCCAGCCAGUUUUUAUGGUUUGCAAAAAAAAAACCACAUCUAAUUUGUUAAGCAACAGAUUUUUUUGAACAGUCAUGUCUUUUUAGUAUACUACCUAUGAAGACAUUAUUGACAGCUUCAUGCAUAUUCCAUUUUAUUUUUCUAGAUAUAAAUAUUUUCUUUCCUGAUAUUACAUUGGCAAAGACAUCCUGGAAAUCAGAAUUCAGCUUUAAAUUAUAUUCAAGAUUAUUUACUUAAACAAUUGUUUCUUGAAAUAUUUUUCUUAAAUGAAUAAAGAGGAAAAAUAAAUAAAUAAAUCAUCACCACCUCCUUGUCCGCCAAAAAAAUAGGAAAUUGUGAAAACUUUUUACCCACUAUACAAAGUUGCCUAAUAACUAAAAGCAAGUGUAAAGAUGGACAACUUUACCUUGAGAAAGCCUUCUGUCUAGACUUGGUUUGCCAUUAAACAUAUGUGAAUGUAGGCAACAAACACACCAAUGAAACUGAGACCUCCACUUUGGAUUUCCUUUUACUCAUCUCUAAAAUAAGGAAGUUAAUAUUAGUUAGUCAUUCAAAUAUUUAAAAAAUUCUACAAUAAAUAUUUGAUAUGUUUCCAAUGAUAAAUAGGAAAUAUUUUUAAAGGCAACAUUAAACUCAGCUUUUUGUAAUAGAUAUUUAAUAAAGACAUAACUCUUAAAGAUAUUAACUUGUACAGCAGACAAAUAUUUGAGCAACAAAUAAAAAUUUUUAAGUAAUAUAAUAAGAUAGGAUUUAACAAAAUUAAUGAGAGUGCCAGUGAGAAUCCUCACUAAAAUAACUGGAAAAUAGUCUUCAAAGGCACACAAAAGACAUCUGACAAUUAAAAAUAAUGAUGAACAGGCCGGGCGCGGUGGCUCACGCCUGUAAUCCCAGCA